UGGUAGGAUGUUUAGGAAUUAUUAAAGUUAUUGUUAUUAUGAUUUCAAACAUGUUAAUUAUGUUUUGGAGUAGUUUGAAAGUAGUUAUAUUGCUGGAAAUUCAAAGUAUGAUGCUUUGAAGAGUUUUCAACGAAUUUCAAUAAUUAACAUAAUAAAUAUGAUGCUAGGAAAUCAAAUAUUCAAGUUUCGAUAUUGGGAAAUGUUCUAAUUAUGUUUAGGAAGGGUUUGAAGCUCCCUAAUGUUGCUGAAAAUUCAAUAUGAAUUGAUAUGAGUCUAUAUUGGUUGUUGUUAGGUGGAGAAUUCUCCGUAGGCGACUUUUGAAUUAUUAAAGUGGUCUUGCAGUUUGUUUACACAAGUCUCUAAGGAUCAAUAAGCGUUGCCCAUCUACAGGUUUGAAGAUGAUGCACCAUUGGGAUCGGGAUUAGAGAGCUUGUUGUUCUAUUUGUUUACUUGAGUGAUUUAAUUUGUUAACUUGGAUUUGAAAUUUGUCGUACUAUUCGUAUUUCCUUAUUUCAGUUAAUUGGUUUGGACCUAAUAUGUAAUAGAUUAUUUAUGAACCUAAAAGUUAGUUUUAUGUUUUCCGCUGCAAAAUUCUGAAUAAGCCGUUACGUUUUUACA